rnacentral:misc_RNA from 1 species
GAUGAAGAACGUAGCGAAAUGCGAAAAGUAGUGUGAAUUGCAGAAUUCAGUGAAUCAUCGAAUCUUUGAACGCACAUUGCGCCCUGUGGUAUUCCGCAGGGCAUGCCUGUUCGAGCGUCAUUUCAACCCUCAAGCUCUGCUUGGUGUUGGGCCACGCCCUCGCGGCCGGCCCCAAAGCCAGUGGCGGCGCCGUCCGGCUCUAAGCGUAGUACAUCUCUCGCUCUAGGGCCCGGCGGCUGCCUGCCAGAACCCCAAACUCUUAUGGUUGACCUCGGAUCAGGUAGGGAUACCCGCUGAACUUAAGCAUAUCAAUAAGCGGAGGA